rnacentral:rRNA from 1 species
UACGUAGGGUGCAAGCGUUACUCGGAAUUACUGGGCGUAAAGCGUGCGCAGGCGGCUUUGCAAGUCAGAUGUGAAAUCCCCGGGCUUAACCUGGGAACUGCAUUUGUGACUGCAUGGCUGGAGUGCGGCAGAGGGGGAUGGAAUUCCGCGUGUAGCAGUGAAAUGCGUAGAUAUGCGGAGGAACACCGAUGGCGAAGGCAAUCCCCUGGGCCUGCACUGACGCUCAUGCGCGAAAGCGUGGGGAGCGAACAGG